GCCCGCUUAGCUCAGUGGUAGAGCGCGCCACUCGUAUUCCUCGGCUAUGGUGAGGUCACUCGUUCAAACCGGGUAGUGGGCA